CCCGAGGUGGUGUAAUUGGUUCAGCAUUCCAACCUUGACGACCGUGGACGCCAGUUGCGCUGAAGCGGGCCCUUCCGGGGGGAGGGGAGGGAUCCGGGUUCGAAUCCCGGCCUCGGGG
rfam:Verticillium dahliae VdLs.17 supercont1.6 genomic scaffold, whole genome shotgun sequence.